rnacentral:rRNA from 1 species
GGGCCCGCACAAGCAGCGGAGCGUGUGGUUUAAUUCGAGGCUACGCGAAGAACCUUACCUGGGUUUGACAUGCAGGUGGUAGUGAAGCGAAAGCGGAACGACCUUCGGGAGCCUGCACAGGUGCUGCAUGGCUGUCGUCAGCUCGUGUCGUGAGAUGUUCGGUUAAGUCCGCAAACGAGCGCAACCCUCGGCGUGUGUUACAAGUGUCACACGCGACUGCCCGUGAGAAACGGGAGGAAGGUGGGGAUGACGUCAAGUCAGCAUGGCCUAGAUAUCCAGGGCGACACACACGCUACAAUGGGCGGUACAACGGGGAGCGAAGCGGUGACGCGGAGCGGAUCCUGAAAAGCCGUUCGUAGUUCGGAUUGCAGGCUGCAACUCGCCUGCAUGAAGCUGGAGUUGCUAGUAACCGCCGGUCAGCCACACGGCGGUGAAUACGUUCCCGGGCCUU